AACUAACGCUGGCGGCGUGCCUAACACAUGCAAGUCGUACGAGAAAGUUGGCUUCGGCCGAUGAGUACAGUGGCGCACGGGUGAGUAACGCGUGGAUAAUCUGCCCUUAAGUGUGGAAUAACGUACCGAAAGGUGCGCUAAUACCGCAUAAUGCCUGGCAACAUAAGUUGUCCGGCCAAAGAAGGCCUCUGCUUGCAAGCUUUCGCUAAAGGAUGAGUCCGCGUACCAUUAGCUAGUUGGUGGGGUAACGGCCUACCAAGGCGACGAUGGUUAGCUGGUCUGAGAGGAUGAUCAGCCACACUGGAACUGAGACACGGUCCAGACUCCUACGGGAGGCAGCAGUGAGGAAUAUUGCGCAAUGGGGCAACCCUGACGCAGCAACGCCGCGUGAGUGAGGAAGGUUUUCGGACUGUAAAGCUCUGUCGAGCGGGAAGAAGUGUACCAUGGCUAAUAUCCAUGAUAUUUGACGGUUACCGCUUAGAGG
rnacentral:rRNA from 1 species